CAGGUACUGAAUGACCUUUUUGGUAUUUUCUGUCUUGCCAGCACCAGAUUCACCUCUGAGGGGAAAGAAAAUAACACAAAAGAAGAUACCUCUGGCUCUGAUGAUUAUAUGGACAAAAAUGUUUUAUACUGUCUUGCUCAGCAGUCAAAAAGGGUGGUAAAGUGGGUGUGGAUGUAACAAACGAUUUCUUUCAACUGAGCUAGUGCUGUGAGGAGAACAACAAUCUAAGUUGGACCUCUUCUUCUUUGGAUCUAAACUAAAAUUGAUUUAAAAAAAUAAAAGAACAAUACAUUCAAAAAUCCCAGAGAUAUUUAUCAGCUCUUUUGAGUCUGAAACUUUUUAGCUGGAUCCACUGCAGUUAUGCUUCUUUUCCUGAUUAGGAAAUGCAAGAGUUAAUUUUCCCUAUAAAAGAACCAGUGAUAAAUGGACAUGAAAAUAUGGAGAAGUGCUGGACAGAACUUUCAAUACAGAAUGACAUUGAUGUAAACCUUAGGAAACCAGAAACAAUUCCUGCCUGAGGUCUAUCUACUGAAGUAGGUUUGGUACUGGAGUUCAAGCUUACUGAAGACUGAGAGACAACUUUUAUCAAGAGCACAAGUAAUUUCUUCGGGAGAUCUUCCAAAGAAUAAAAUAAAACAAGAUACUUUGUAGAUUUUACAAGAUCAUGUCAACAAGUAUGAAGAUGACAGAAGGCAGCAGAAUUACUCCUCCUUACUGGAGCAGUGUCUCAGCUUCACCAUCACUGGAAGCCGGCAGUGCUGCAGGAAGGAGUCAGCUACCCACCUCCAGCUCCUCUUCUCUGGCCUGCUCUGCCUCCUCCUUGCUGCUGUGACCAGCAUUCACAGACCACACUGUGCACCAGGAGGAGGGGCACCCACUUCAGAACAGCAAAAAGCCAGGGAUGGCUUUCACCUGGAGCAGUUUUGCAUCAUGGCUGCAUGAAGAAUCCUGCUGGCAGUGCAGGAGUUGGGAUGGGGAUCAAGCCCUUUGUAUGGAGCUACUUCAUCCCAAACACAGGAAAAAGCAGAGGGUGCAGGAGUAGGGGGAAAUGUUUUAUGACUGCAGUCUCUAAGUGUAGCAGUAAUCAGCUACAGCUGGCCUGUAAACACAGCCAGGAAGGCCCAGUUCAGUGUAGUAACUCCUGGGGACACACACACACACACACACACAAAUGCUCUUGUAGAAUUCUCAGUCUUUGAGAUUAAAGAAAAUUAAAGUUUAUUCUUGUUCUGGCUGGAAAUGAGCAUCCACAGCUGUGCCUGGGCAACGAUCAUACUGCAUUAGUGACAUGGUAUCCAGCAGAUUCAACAAGACACCCAGCACUCCUGGCUGAGCAUGAGACAGCAUGACUGUGAUUUGUAAAAGGGCUUUAGGUGCUCAGAAGCACUUGAAACAAGUGGAAAUUUUAUCUUUGCCCAGCCAACAUCUUUGAUAAUUCCUAUGUCCUGUGAGAUGUCAGAUUUUCUGCAUAUUUGGAAGAAAAUCUUAUUAUCUGAUUGCUGAUAGCUGUGGCUAAGUGUUUUUAUCAGAACAGCUUUGACAGGACUUAAACAUCACCCCUAAUGAAUACAUGAACCAAGUAAGUCUCUGAAGCAGAGGAGAAAUGCAGUGUGCACAGCUCUUGUUUUCUGUUGGAUGUUUGUGCCAACACAGGGGAGGGUGAGAAUGUGGAGGGCUGUGAUUCCCAGAUGGUGAACCUGCAGCAGGACCAGGGAUCUGCAGACACAGAGACUUGGUUCACCAAAAGAUAAAGGAUCCCUGAGACAUCUGAACAAGCUGAUUGCUCUGGGCCAAGUGGCCCUGGUCAUGAAGUACCAGAAUAUAACUCCUCAGUCUCAUGAAUCUAAGACAUAUUUUACUUUGGCAAGCAGAAACUAUGCAAGUUUCCAGAUAAGGACCAGUACUGACUUUUCACAGGAAAAACAUUUAGUGCUCUGAUCCAUGUUUAUGAGUAAGAACUUUUGUUUAUAUUCCAUUUGGAAAUAUGCUCACAACCCCCUCUGAAGCUUUCUCUGCCUAUACAUGUUGCGUGCUCACACAGAACUGUGUUGACGCCCACUUUCACCACUCCAACGUGAACAGAAUUUGGCUGAAUAACCAGAGUUAUUUUGAGGGUUGGUUUUGUUUUAUGCACAAAACACGAGUCAGUUUUUACAAACAAAAGCACAGCUUUAAAAACAGCUGGGGCCCUCUUCAGAGAUGGAGAGACUCCAAAAUGACACAUGCAAGUAAAACGUGGGUGUCUUGGGCUUGUGCUGGGAGCUCUGGCCAUUCCACUCCCUGGCUGCCGUGCCAGCUGUGCAUGGUCGGGCUGGGAGGCAGUGAAAGAGCAUCCUCUUAAAGGUUCAGCUGAUCACCUACUCCCUCCUUGUUCCUUCCUAUUUGCUCUCCUCUUCCUCUCUGCUGCCAGGAAUAAUUGCAAUGGUGGCACAUGAAUAAUGAGGAAUAAAGCUUCCCCAAGAGCUGGCAGGGCCAGGAAAUUAUUCUGAGCACCAAAAGAAGUGAAUUGAUAGGAGCCUGCACUCUUGCUGCCUCCUGCCUCCAGCACCCAGCCUGGGAGGCACAGCUGAACCCAGGCUGUUCUAAGUGCAGUUAAUGGCCACAGCAAGGCAAACCAGCUCCAGUGGCUUCCCACUGCUCAGGAGAAUGUGCUGGGAGGGACAGGAGACAGUCAGAGAGAGGAGGAGUGAAAGAUAUCCCUGUGCUGCUUAGAUCAGGCUCAUCUGCGUUGAGACUAGUUUCCCGUUAGGCAGAAAGCUCUUGUAUUGUCAGGACAAAACAGUUCUAUUUCAGCAUAGGCUGCAUUCAUAUGGGUUUUUUCCUUUCCUAAAGACACAGGUCUUUUUUUGUUUCUUUUCGCCCCACCUCGUUUCUAGGGACAAGUACAGUACCCUGCACAACUGCUAAUGUUCUGCAGGAGCCAAGAGCUUCUUCCAGAGCUCCCCUCAAGGCUUGCUGCUUAAAUAAAGGAUCUGAGGGAGGAAUGCCUUCAGGGCCUGCCUGGAGCCCUGGACAGUGCUGGAUGCAGAGCACAGGGUUCAGGAGGGAAGCUGGAGUACAGAUAUGGGACUGUGACUUAAUGGGACAACCUUCUGCCAACACUUAACUGAAUCAUCCUACUGAGCACUGCUUGGAAAAAAAGAUAAUCAAAAGAUAAUCUAGGGGUGAAUCCUAGCCUUGUGACCUUCAUUUGGGAACAGGAUUGGCAGCUUUAUCAUGAGCCCUGCUAUCAAUCCCUCCUGGCCUUUCACCUUUCCCCACUGUGGAGCUUUUCAUCUGGAAAUGGAGGUACCAUCAGUUUGGGGUUUCUUUUUUCGUUGGUUGGCUUUGGUUUUUGUUUUUCUUUUCUGUAAUGCAUUCUCCAUAUAUUUCAAUCAAAUUAUCUGUAAGUGCCUCAGUUGCAAUAAGAUCUUCUCAUCUUUCUUAAUGUGAAUUAUUACAUAACUCUGACUAAACAUUUGAUUUUCUAAUAUUAAAAAGAAAUUGGCCCUAAUUAUUGCCUGUUAUAAACUGUAAAAAUCAGAAAAGAAGGAAAAAAAGGGAUAGAUUAUCUAGAAAAUACCAGCUAUUUCAAAUUCCUGUAGAUGUCACUCUAUUAACUAAAUCAGAUUCUGUAUAUUGAUUAGAAUUCACAAAUAAUCCAUAAUUUAACUAGACUUUGCACAGCUUGGAAAGCUAUCUAGCUCUUGGUUUCUCCUAAAAUUAACAUACUUAGAAGCCAACAGAUUUGCAACUAAUAAGUGUCUGUGAUUUCCAAAGCAUUGGGAUCUCUGCAUACAUCCCCACGCUGCCUUUUAUGGAGAUGUUCUGCUCAAUACUCGCCGUUCCACAAAAAUGUAAUGAUAACAAAUUCAAAACAAAUACCUUUUAGGGACUAGUGUGUCAAUUGCAAAUGAGAUAAUAAAAUUCAUUGUUUACAUCCAAGCGAACACAGCCAGAGCAGAAUCGGGCAUUAAACUGAAGUGACAACCUAAUUAGAGCUUUGUUCUCAGGGGGUUCAUCUGUUCAGCCCCUGAGUGAGUGGCUUGAGGGAAGGGGGGAACUUGAGGAGCUCAGCAAAUCAGUCCAUCCAGACAAGCCUGCUGCAAACUGCCUGUCAGGGCAAAGCUUGGAGUGAAGGACAAGGUGGGCUUGUUUUUCAACAAGUGUAUUUUAGAGAAGAUUUUACUAAGAUGUAUGUAUUAGGUAAUAAUGACAAGCCUUCUGAUUUCCCUUAUAUUGAAAAUAUCUCAUGAUGCUUCUUAAUUAUGCAAACAUAUAUGCCUUUCACAUAAAUAUCAACAUUUUUAUAGGUGUGCAUGCACACAGACCCGCGCACACACACACACACGUAUGUGAAAGAAGCCUGUGAACCUCUGGGAUGACACUGAAGCUGCUUUCUGCACUGCCAUCUACUGUCGUCUUAACUUACUUAACGGGAUUUUCUUAGAAGUUGGUUGCUUUAUUUUCCCUUUAAAAAAAAGGCAUGCCACCUUUGAAAUUCGUGUAGUUCAGUAAAUUAUCAGAUUAGUUUUGCUUAAACUUUGUUCCCAGCAUAUUAAAAACAUAUAUAUGUAAUGCUGGGGCAUUUACAUAAAAGUGUUUCCAUUCCUUCUAAUUUUUAAGCAUUUUAAGCAUUUUUCCUGUUUACAGAACAAGUUACUGAUGAACUGAUUAUUUUAUUUGGUUGCACUUUCUUUCAGCAGUCCUUAAUUAGGACUAAGAGGUUAGGAACACUUAGAGAAGAUCAGCAGCUCAGGUUACCAGGCUUUUUCAUUCCCAAACGCCCGUGUGGUGGUUACCUGCAGCAGGUACCUGUGACCGCCUGCACCGCCCUGCACCUUGCUGCCGGCUCAGAGAACGGCUCCUUCUCUGCAGCCAGUGUCUUUCAGCCUCGACCCUGCGAUGGUGGUGUUAGCAGUGACUAGAAGCAGGCUAGAACAUCUGUGCACACUGUCAGGCAUGCACAGUCUCUAUGCAUUUUAACCAGAACCCAACCAGUAACACACAAACCGGGAUAAAUCGUCUGGGCGCGUCUGAUCGGUCUGUUCCCAUGCCCAGGUUAAUUCUCUGAGUGUGUUCGCAGAGCAAUGUGAGAGUUAACUUGCCAGACUACCCAUCCCAAAGUGUGUGAGCCCCCAGCCCAGUCCCCGGCAGGGACCUCACCCCGCCGUGGUACUCACAGGUGUCCAGUUGUGGGAGCGGAGUGAGUUGGAGGUACAGCCACCAGCCGGGACAGCCCAAGUCCUUGCUGCCUUCGCAGCCUCCCUAUAUAGAGGAGGAGAAUCUUGUCAGUGGGGAGGGGCCCUGGAAACCACGUCCUGCUGGAAAAUCCUUUUGGUACCUGGCUUAAAAAACACAGCCUGAGCCAAGGACCUCGUUCCCAGCAGGGCCUAACCCUAGGCUGUGGCCCCUGCCCUGAGCCACUUUUUAGGGAAGCAGGCUGGUUCUGGCUUUCAGAAGGGUGUAUGAAAGGGGUGCCCCAAACUCACAAGUUCAGGGUUUCACCCUUUUCCCCUGCUGUUUGACAAAGCAAAUGGACCUUUAACUCCUUCCUGCCUUGCCAGUAUCCCUGCCCCUCAUGGCCCCGUGCCUAGAAGGGCAAAGGGCAGGUCAUGGGCCCGUGUGGCACAGGAUGUUUCCCACUGACCCACUGUCAGUGCAUUUUGUUGGAGCUAUGUCCCUGAGUUCAGGGGCUGCUUGGGCAAAGAGGGUUAUUCCUAACACAGCAGGGCUGUGUGGGUGGAGGUGGCUCUGGGUCUCCCUGUGUUUAUGUGACAUUUGGAGCCUGAGGCUGGUUUAAGCCUCAUUUGCCUGUGGGAAAGAAGAGGGUUGUUUCCCACCUUCCCAGCAGAUUUGCCAGUUUCUUUCGUGAUCCAGUGUGCAGCUCAGUUCUUGAUAAAGGACUGUAAAUACUUGCUCAUGUAUAAGAAAUACCUCCCUGUGUCCAUAAAUGUAGGAGAGAAGCGGUGAAGAGCUGGGGGAGCACAGUCCCCGGGAUGCAUGGACAGAACAGGGAGCAGGCACCGUGUGCUGGCAGGGAGAGGAGGACAGGGUGCUGGGAGCCAGACCUGCAGGGGUUAGGGAGUGAUCUGGUCCUCAUCAAACCUUCCUUACAUCCCCCAAACCUUCAGUCUUCAGCUGUCCCCCCUCCUUCCUCCCCUAGUAGCGAACAGCCUUGUGCAGUAGGACCUGUGGAUGGAGAUAUCCCAAAAAGGGAAAGCUAGGAUCCUCUAGGAAUUCCCAUCAACGUGCCAAAUACAAAAUACCGAAACAACCCCCUCUCAGCAACAGACUAAAUAUGGUGUAUACCCAAAGGAUCAGAGCACAGGCCUGAGUGAAAUUAUGUCUCUUGACAUCAACAGCCCUCUCUUCUUUGGAAAAUAAACCAUCCUGGGGAAGAUGGAUGGGGCUCAUACAGGUCUAAUCAUCCUAAAAAAAUACUUAUGAGGGGAGGCUGGGCUAAAAACCUCUGCUGUCACUGGGUCAGGAACUUGCAGGUGUGAUAGACCUGUAGCCCCUUCUAGUUCUGCCCAGUGGUGAAAAAAUUUGGACAAAGAGGAGAGAGGGAAAGAGCCCUGGGGUUUCUACCCUGCAACAUUUCGGAAAUAUCAGAUACAGGGUCAAGUUUGGGCCUCAGCUGGAGAAGGCCAGAUUUUCCAGGGCAGUGACACAGUGCCAGAGGUCACAGACUGUCCUGCUACAGGGAGGGUUGGUGUCUGCAGUGGUGUGGGGCUGCCAUGGAGCCAUGCAGAGCUUUCCAGGACCCUGCAGCACCAUAUCAGACUUGUGCAUGUGUGACUUUGUUGGAGCAAAGCCAAGGGAAAUUAUCACCAUGACAUAAAUCCAAGAAACUUGUCCUUGUUAGCAGAAAGUUUGUCACAGGGCAGGGUCGUUCACCCUAUUUUACUUUUUUCCCUGCAGUUUCUUGAUUGCAAACUUAGCUUUUAAUUAGAAACACAAUGAAAUGCAAGGGAAUCCUCUGAAAAGUAUGAUCAUUUUAACAUUCAUCAAAGUUAUCCUAAGAAGUUCCUUUUAAACACAUGCAGCUGUUUCACAAAACCAGACACAUUAAAAUAGUAGCUUAAAAAGGAGUGGAAAUUAUUCUGGCUGGUCUGCAAACCACUGCACACGCAGGCUUGCUGCCCGAGGAGGGUGUUUAACAGCAGCAGUGCUGGAGGGUGAUAUAUGAUGUGACAUUAAAUGGAGCUGGAAAGUCUAAAAAAAUACUAGUGCUGGGACUGAAAGAGUUGCACUCUCAAGCCACGUGGGGUAGCAACUGUUAAAUGUAAGCAUGGCUUCCAACCUUCACUUAAAAGUUAAUGUAAGAAUAUACUAAUCUGAUAGCCUGGUUGGGGGUUCCUGAAUGUUGGGGUGUUUGUUUUAAACCAAAGUUGCCUCAAAAUGAAAGCUGUGGAUUCCCAGUGGAUGAUGAGUUUGUGACAAAAAAAUAAGCUUUGUUUAAAUCCCCUUGAUUUGUUUAUUUAUGUAGUACUUUUCUAGAAAAAAAUAAAGUAUUGGGCAGCUUGCCCUUAAAUAUCUCCUGACUGAAUUUGCACUGUAAAUAUUGUGCUUGGGGAAAAGAAAGAGGACCCAAGAAGGAAAGAAGUGAACUUUUUGCUGCCUUACCAUGGUGUAACCUGAACACAACAGAGGGGAAAAACCAAAAGCACAGAUGGUGAUGUUAGUUUGUUAAAUAAUGUGUCAGGUAAGCAAUUUCUGUUUUGUUUAAAAAUGUUUUUGCUUAAGUUUUACCAACCAUGUUUCUCUAACAUGACAAAUAUAAUUAGAACUGGUAAUUAUACUGGUGGAUUACCACCUGUGUCAAGCUGUGCCCUUACAACCGGAGGGACAGUCUGUGACCAAGCCAGGACAAUCAAUCUUGAGGCAGUCUGAUGAGGGAAAACACUCGCCAGCUGCUUGAUGUUAAGGUUUGUGCUCAACACCGGCUGCAGGUGGUCGGGUGAAGUCAGUGAAGGGUGCAGGUCAGGUCUGAAUCAGCUGCUACUGAAAGGGUCUCUUUGCAAGUGUGAACAAACCUUUCGGGGUUUCUUUUCCUAAAGGUGAUCACCCAAGGAUAAUCACUCCUCCGGAAAACUGAUCCAGUGACACCGAGAUUGGUGCUCAGGAAGGAAAAAGUAACCGACUCCUCACAGUGAGCUGAUAAAGCUUUAAAAAAUCUCUCCUGUGCAGGACAGAAACUAAAACCUCUGGAACAGCAUGGCUGCCCUGGAGCCUAGAGACACAGUUUUCUCUCAUUUGAGAAGAGAGCAAAAAUUUGGUCUUAAAGAACUUUUUAUUUUUAAAACUUGUGGGUUAAGUUCUUCCAAAGAGCUUUCCAGAUCUGAUAUCCACACCAGACUUCACUGGCUCCUAGUCACCUUCACUUGUGAUAAUGUGCUUAGACAACAAACAGCCUCUUUUAAUGGAAUUCCCUCCGUAAAGCUCUUAGUUCAUGUUCUGUCUCCAAGAAAAUUCACAAAUGCAUUUUGCUAUUUAAAGACCCUAAACUUCUAUAUGCUCGUAUCUUUCUUUUUUAAAUUUUCAGUUGUCAGUAGAAAGAAUAAGGGCAGUUAAUGCAAGACAUCCCAGGCUGUAAUUAUUAUGCAAUUACGCAGCUUCUGAAAUUGAGAAACUAAUUUUUGUGUAUGCUCACCUAGGUGGCAAUUUCUUCUAAAACCUGAACCUGUGGCUCUAGGACUGUGACAUAUUUUGAUCUAAAUAUUUAUCUCACCUUAAAAUUUUAAGGAAUGCUAAGUGCAUCCAUAUGGCAAAGAUUUUGCAAUUCCUCUUCACCUGGUAACAAGGCAGGCAGUCUGACAUUCAGAGGACUUGCUGUUUGUCAUCAUCGUGAAAGAUACGCUCAUGUUUCAUGUACUGUCAAGAUAAAUGGUAGGCCAAUAAUAAUAUGAUUAGACCAGUAUAUUUUCAUAGACGUAUUUCAAAGCUUUGUUGUUAAUAAAUAUCACUGGAAAAACA